AGUGGGGCGUGGCGCCCGCUUACCUUGAGGCCGGGUUGGAAAGAGACUAUUUUAGCAAGUGUCACGCCAUGGUAUGUGGUUGGUUGGUCUAUUUCAGUCUAAUCUAUUAUGCUUUCUGGUUAAAAAUGUCACCUUUCUCAUUAUCUGAUGGAUUUACGUUGCACUGCAUAACUUUCUUAAGUUCUGAUAACUCACCUUGGCUGGGCCAUGGGAAGGAGAGAAAUAUUGCCUCUGAAAUGCCUUUUUAGCUUUGGAUUUGCUUUUUGCUUUUUUUUUUUUUCCUUGAGAGUUUUGUUCUUGUUGCCCAGGCUGGAGUGCAGUGGCACGAUCUUGGCUUACUGCAACCUCUGCCUCCCAGGUUCAAGCAAUUCUCCUGCCUCAGCCUCCCUAGUAGCUGGGAUUACAGGUGUGCACCACCACGCCUGGCUAAUUUUGUAUUUUUAGUAGAGAUGGGGUUUCACCAUGUUGG
rnacentral:sRNA from 1 species